CCUACGGGGGGCAGCAGUGGGGAAUAUUGCGCAAUGGGCGAAAGCCUGACGCAGCGAAGCCGCGUGAGGGAUGAAGGUCUUCGGAUCGUAAACCUCUGUCAGCGGGGAAGAACGGUCACUGUGCUAAUCAGCCGUGAAUUGACGGUACCUGCAAAGGAAGCACCGGCUAACUCCGUGCCAGCAGCCGCGGUAAGACGGAGGGUGCGGGCGUUAAUCGGACUUGCUGGGCGUAAAGCGCUCGUAGUCGGUAUGUCAAGUCAAGGGUGAAAUACCCGCGCUCAACGUGGGGACUGCAUUGGAAACUGGCAACCUUGAGUGCGUGAGAGGAUAGUGGAAUUCCAGGUGUAGGAGUGAAAUGCGUAGAUAUCUGGAGGAACAUCAGUGGCGAAGGCGACUAUCUGGCACAUAACUGACGCUGAGGAGCGAAAGCGUGGGUAGCAAACAGGAUUAGAUACCCCAGUAGUC
rnacentral:rRNA from 1 species